GUGGGGAAUAUUGGACAAUGGGCGAAAGCCUGAUCCAGCAACGCCGCGUGAGGGAUGACGGCCUUCGGGUUGUAAACCUCUUUCAGCAGGGACGAAGCGAAAGUGACGGUACCUGCAGAAGAAGGACCGGCCAACUACGUGCCAGCAGCCGCGGUAAUACGUAGGGUCCGAGCGUUGUCCGGAAUUAUUGGGCGUAAAGGGCUCGUAGGCGGUUUGUCGCGUCGGGAGUGAAAACUCAGGGCUCAACCCUGAGCGUGCUUCCGAUACGGGCAAACUAGAGGUAUGCAGGGGAGAAUGGAAUUCCUGGUGUAGCGGUGGAAUGCGCAGAUAUCAGGAGGAACACCGGUGGCGAAGGCGGUUCUCUGGGCAUUACCUGACGCUGAGGAGCGAAAGCAUGGGGAGCGAACAGGAUUAGAUACCCUAGUAGUCC
rnacentral:rRNA from 1 species